UGCAUAUCAAUAAGCGGAGGAAAAGAAACUAACAAGGAUUCCCCUAGUAACUGCGAGUGAAGCGGGAAGAGCUCAAAUUUGAAAUCUGGCGGUUCCGCCGCCCGAGUUGUAAUCUGGAGAAGCGUUUUCCGUGCCGGACCGUGUACAAGUCCCUUGGAACAGGGCGUCAUAGAGGGUGAGAAUCCCGUCUUUGACACGGACUCCCGGUGCUCUGCGAUGCGCUCUCGAAGAGUCGAGUUGUUUGGGAAUGCAGCUCAAAAUGGGUGGUAAAUUCCAUCUAAAGCUAAAUAUUGGCGAGAGACCGAUAGCGAACAAGUACCGUGAGGGAAAGAUGAAAAGCACUUUGGAAAGAGAGUAAAACAGUACGUGAAAUUGUUGAAAGGGAAACGCUUGAAGUCAGUCGCGUCUUCUGGGACUCAGCCUUGCUUCUGCUCGGCGCACUUCCCAGUUUGACGGGUCAGCAUCGGCUCUGGGGGGCGGACAAAUGCGUGGGGAAGGUGGCAGCUCCGGCUGUGUUAUAGCCCCGCGCUACGCGUCCCCCGGGACCGAGGAAUCCGGCGCUCGCGCCUGGGAUGCUGGCGUAAUGGCUUUAAACGACCCGUCUUGAACCACGGACC
rnacentral:rRNA from 1 species